GAUGAACGCUGGCGGCGUGCCUAAUACAUGCAAUUCGAGCGAACGGACGAGAAGCUUGCUUUUCUGAUGUUAGCGGCGGACGGGUGAGUAACACGUGGAUAACCUACCUAUAAGACUGGGAUAACUUCGGGAAACCGGAGCUAAUACCGGAUAAUAUUUUGAACCGCAUGGUUCAAAAGUGAAAGACGGUCUUGCUGUCACUUAUAGAUGGAUCCGCGCUGCAUUAGCUAGUUGGUAAGGUAACGGCUUACCAAGGCAACGAUGCAUAGCCGACCUGAGAGGGUGAUCGGCCACACUGGAACUGAGACACGGUCCAGACUCCUACGGGAGGCAGCAGUAGGGAAUCUUCCGCAAUGGGCGAAAGCCUGACGGAGCAACGCCGCGUGAGUGAUGAAGGUCUUCGGAUCGUAAAACUCUGUUAUUAGGGAAGAACAUAUGUGUAAGUAACUGCGCACAUCUUGACGGUACCUAAUCAGAAAGCCACGGCUAACUACGUG
rnacentral:rRNA from 1 species